AAUGCUGGCUGCUGUAGCAAUACAGUGGCCAGAGGAAGUGGCGAAAGGGGCAGUAAUGUAUAGGUAACCUACCCUGGGGAUGGGGAUAGCCGUUCUAACGAGCGGGUAAUACCCAGCGAUUUGGCGAGGAGGCAUCUCUUUGCCAAGAAAUGAAUUUCGCCUCGGGAGGGGCUUAUAUCGUAUUAGCUAGUUGGUGAGGUGACGGCUCACCAAGGCAAAGAUGCGUAGCGGGUGUGAGAGCACGACCCGCGCCACUGGCACUGAGACACUGGCCAGACACCUACGGGUGGCUGCAGUCGAGGAUCUUUGGCAAUGGGCGCAAGCCUGACCAGGCGACGCCGCGUGGACGAUGAAGGCCUUCGGGUUGUAAAGUCCUGUCGAGGGGGAUAAAAGCGUAAGCUUGAUUGAUCCCUGGAGGAAGGGCGGGCUAAGUUCGUGCCAGCAGCCGCGGUAAGACGAACUGCCCAAACGUUGUUCGGAAUCACUGGGCUUAAAGGGUGCGUAGGCGGCUUAUCAAGUCAGGGGUGAAAUCCGGCAGCUCAACUGUCGAAGUGCCUUUGAUACUGGUGAGCUCGAGGGAGGUAGGGGUCCGUGGAACUUCUGGUGGAGCGGUGAAAUGCGUUGAUAUCAGAAGGAACGCCGGUGGCGAAAGCGACGGACUGGAUCUUUUCUGACGCUGAGGCACGAAAGCUAGGGGAGCAAACAGGAUUAGAUACCCCGGUAGUCCUAGCCCUAAACGUUGGGUACUAGAUAGUAGACUUUCAUGGGUUUACUGUCGAAGCAAAAGUUUUAAGUACCCCGCCUGGGGAGUAUGGUCGCAAGGCUGAAACUC
rnacentral:rRNA from 1 species